rnacentral:piRNA from 1 species
UGAAGGAUACUGUGGAGUCAGUUGUGCCC